rnacentral:rRNA from 1 species
AUUGAACGCUGGCGGCAGGCCUAACACAUGCAAGUCGAACGAGUGGCGGACGGGUGAGUAAUGUCUGGGAAACUGCCUGAUGGAGGGGGAUAACUACUGGAAACGGUAGCUAAUACCGCAUACCAUCGGAUGUGCCCAGAUGGGAUUAGCUAGUAGGUGGGGUAAAAGCUCACCUAGCCGACCAUCCCUAGCUGGUCUGAGAGGAUGACUAGCCAAACUGGAACGGAGACACGGGCCAGAAUCCGACGGGAGGCAGCAGUGGGGAAUAUUGCACAAUGGGCGCAAGCCUGAUGCAGACAGGCCGCGUGUAUGAAGAAGGCCUUCGGGUUGUAAAGUACUUUCAGCGGGGAGGCGUUAAACGCAGAAGAAGCACCGGCUAACUCCGUGCCAGCAGCCGCGGUAAUAC